AUGAAGCAUGAGGGAUAGCAGCGGCAUCCUUUUGUGAAGCUUUAGCGGAACAAAAGAUACAGCGAAUAGCCCGACCCGCA
rnacentral:sRNA from 1 species